rnacentral:lncRNA from 1 species
CGGAAUCCCAGCUCCACUUACCAGGCCGCGGCUACCCCGCCGUCCCCCCCGACUCCCGCCACCCCGCUCUCUCAGGCUCUUCAGGAUCCAAGUCCGUAGGCCCUUUAAGGGGUCUAGUUGCCGUUUGCGAGGCCCUGGGACUUUGGUCCCAGACAGCGGGGAUCCGGAUGGCUUCCGUGCGGAUCCGAGAGGCCAAGGAGGGAGACUGUGGAGAUAUCCUGAGGCUGAUUCGGGUGAAGACUGCAGGAGCUAGCCGAAUUCGAAAAACUCUCGGAUCAGGUGAAGAUCAGUGAAGAAGCCCUGAGAGCAGAUGGCUUUGGAGACAAUCCUUUCUAUCACUGUUUGGUAGCAGAGAUUCUUCCAGCGCCCGGGAAGCUACUGGGUCAAGGGAUUGGUUCCAAAAUAAUCAAAAAGGUGGCUGAGGUGGCCUUGGAUAAGGGCUGCUCCCAAUUCCGCCUGGCCGUCCUGGACUGGAACCAGAGGGCCAUGGACUUGUACAAGGCCCUAGGAGCCCAAGAUCUGACGGAAGCUGAGGGCUGGCACUUCUUCUGCUUUCAAGGAGAGGCAACGAGAAAGUUGGCAGGAAAGUGACGCCAUCCCUAGGAGGAUCUCUGUCUUGAGUUUCUCCUUCCCCAUCAGCUGAAGCACUCUUCAGAGACUACGUCCACAGACACUGAUGCUGAGGCCUCCCUGGAGGAAGGAGGGUUAGGGGUGCCUAUCCUCAAGUAUUGGAAGAGCAGAAUUGAGGGAGAGACCUUUCUUCCUUGUUGAGGGUGAAAAAUAAAUAAGAAUUACAUGUCC